rnacentral:tRNA from 1 species
GGGCUGGUAGCUCAGCGGUCUAGAGCCAUCGACUCAUAAUCGACAAGACCCCGGUUCGAAUCCGGGCCAGCCCA